UACGAAGGGGGCUAGCGUUGCUCGGAAUCACUGGGCGUAAAGCGCACGUAGGCGGAUUGCUAAGUCAGGGGUGAAAUCCUGGAGCUCAACUCCAGAACUGCCUUUGAUACUGGCGAUCUCGAGUCCGGGAGAGGUGAGUGGAACUGCGAGUGUGGAGGUGAAAUUCGUAGAUAUUCGCAAGAACACCAGUGGCGAAGGCGGCUCACUGGCCCGGUACUGACGCUGAGGUGCGAAAGCGUGGGGAGCAAACAGG
rnacentral:rRNA from 1 species